UGUACGUAAUUCGAGAAAGUAGCUAUUUUCGGAGAAAGUGACGUUAGCAAGUUAGCAAGAUCGUAGAUAGGUGCCUAGGAUUUCCGAGAGUAUAAAAGAAUUGGGCUCUACAAGCCGAAGAUAGGAGCAAAUUAUUGGACACCACAUUCAAGAUUGGAAAUCUCAUAAACAAAGGCGAAACAGACACACCAAGGAAAAUUGACCCCAGUUGUUUUGGAUCAACAAAAAGAGAUGGCAUCACAAACAAACCUGAAAAAAUGGACUCACUGGGCUUGCAACCACAGUAACGACUAUCACUACACAGGAGUCAGCUAUACGUGUGGGCAUUCCUUCACACUAUGUGAGACUUGCUAUCAUGCCUUUUCAAGAAACUGUCCCCUCGGUGACGGAGGGGAAAGUAGGCCUACUCCUGGAUUGGGUCGCAGAAGACGUGACGUAGAAGCCAAAUGGGGCACAACCUUCUUCCCAGCAAUGCCUGCCGGAGGGCUGUAGAUAACUGAACUGAAAGAAAACAUUAAUAAUGUAGAUAUUAUUAUAUUAUACUUUGUAAAGUGCAUAUUUAAUGAAUCAACAAAUGAA